rnacentral:sRNA from 1 species
GCCGGGCCUGGUGGCGCAUGCCUGUAAUCCAGGCAGCUCGGGAGGUUGAGGCAGGAGGAUCUAAAGUUCAAAGCCAGCCUUAG